GUAAAUUUCUUGAUUAAAAUAAAAAUUAGAAAUGAAAAUGAACUAAAGCCCCCUCAUAACUACUCCGGCAACCACUCCGACGAGCUUGUAAACCGCCUCCCUCCACCUCUUUUCGUGAACCAAAUCCACACCGAGCCACCUCCACCCUAGAACUUCAAUUACGCCCCCUGAAACAAAUCGUCUUUGGCCUAGCUUGUUCUCUGACAACAUUGGUACCAUAAAUGACCGGCUUACCAAAACCAAUUCUUGUCAAAAUCAAUUAGGUGCUCAAUCUAUCGAUGUCCAAUUCACGAUUCUGGUUCAAAACCCAUGAAUUGGUCCCCGUUAACUACUCCACCAGGAUUGAUUACCAUGAAUGAGAUUAGAAAUUAUCCUAAAAGUCAUAACUCGAUGUUUUAAUUUUGAUCUGAUUUGCGAGUUUUAGCUUGUGAUGGUGAAAUGAUCUGAGCAGGGGCAGUCGUUGUGGUCGUCAAUAGAGAGGGUGGUAGCCACCGCCACUGGUAAAUAUAUAUAUAUAUUAUAGACAGCGUGGUUUGUAACCGCUGUCCAAAUAAAUAAUGGUCGUCGGAUAUAUCAAAGAUUGCAUCCUGGCUAUGUAAACUCAUCAAAAUAACUGAAAAACGAGCGGUUACUGGCGGUUCCAUGUUCUCUCUCUUGUUCCAUUUUCCCAGGGUCAGUUGUCUGCCACUCCCCCUAAAUGGUCGUUCCCCCUCAACAUAUAAACCCUAAUCAACUUCUUAUCCUGCAAUAACUAUCACCUACAUCUUUUCCAAAUUGAUGCUCAACAUUCCCAGCAUCAGAUCUCGCGACGACGUUGAUGGUACAAAUAAAGAUUAGGAAGAUUUGAAGUCGAAAAAGAUUAGGGAUGAAAUCUUAUAUGUCAUCACCGUUGCGCUUAAAUCGUUCAUCAUCUUAUUUUCGAUAGUUUAAGCAAUCGUGCUCUUUUGAUGGGAAUUUCACAAAUCAUCAAGUAUGCGCUUGCCUGUGCUCUUUUGGUAUCCACCAACUCCGUUCUCUUGGGCUAACGUAACCAAAUCCCAUCUCAAAUUUCGGUUCAAUCGGAAGAGGAAGAGAUGUUUGUCCCACAUUCUGAGUUUGAUGUCGCAGAAGGAUCUCAACCGUUGGAAGAAACUGCUAACGCUGCUAAUGCACCAAUAAUUGAUGAUCCACCAUUAGUAAGGUUCACGUGUACGGUUAAUUUAGUCCUGAACAACAUGCCUACUCUGAGAAAGCAUAUUAAUUAUGAUGAUGAUAGUGGAAUUUCUUAUGUGCAACCAGGCGGGAGUUGAUUCUUUUUCAUCAUCAUCUUAAAUCAAAUUCCGGAAUGUGUACAUGGUUAAUUGACAAAGUUGUUGGUCGAUUAUGCGAUUAGUGAAUGUUCAUUGUUGAAUUUAAGCACCAGUGGACCAAGAGCAAGUGUGUGUUUGCCGGCCUUCAAAGACUUCAUUAGCAUUGCCACUUUCCAUAUCGAUAAAAAUGAUGGCUAAGUGUUUCUAGCAUAUUAUAAAAUGUCUUAUCAAUGAUUCAUGGCUGACUUCAACUGGAAUCGCAAACAACGAUCAUUCCAUCUCAGUUAUCCGUGUUACAAGGAAGUAGAUGCGGUGUCAAUUGUAGACCUUUAUCUUACCAUUGUAACCAAUCUGCUGGAUCUUACUAUGCUGGAUCUCAAUAACAUUAAAGUUGACUAGACAAGUUCCACCUCAAAUUAGGUGUUUGAAACGGGUAUCUCGAAAUAGAAGACCUGGGUAACUCGAAAUAGAAGACCUGGGUUUUAUUUGACCCGUUUUAUGUUACAUUUGCACUAGAAUCUGGUUGGUUUACUUUAGCCAUUUAGAAAAAGGGAUCCUUUUAUUUGCCCA